rnacentral:misc_RNA from 1 species
AGUUAGCUUCGAAUCGUUGUAUCAACUGUUUUAAUUUUGAUACAUUUAUACUACAUAAAUAUAUAUACAUAUAAUAUAUAUAUACAUAUAUAUAUAUAUAAAUACAUGAAUAUAUACAGUAUACUUCUGUAUUUUUAUGUAUACACAUAUAUCUAUAUAUCUAUAUAUAUAUAAAGUUUAUAGUUUCUUUAGUGGAUUUAAUUAUAUUUAAUUUUUGAAGCUAUAGGAGCUAUAUACAUUUAAGGAGAGACAGAUAGAUAAAUAGAGAGAGAGAGAGAGAGAGAGUGAGGGAGAGAGUGAGGGAGAGGGAGAGAGAGGAGGAGAGAGGGGGAGAAACAGAGAGGUGGGGAGUGAGAUAGAUAAACUGACAGAGAAACAGACAUACGGAGAGAGAGAGAAAGAGAAAGAAAAAAAACAAAUGUGCAAAGGAAAUAGCUAAAUUAAGAUGGCUGAAUAGAUUAGUUAGGGAACUUAUCACUUUUAUCUAAACGGAGCUUUUUAAGGAGACUGAGAAUAUUAAUCUGCCUAGAUUUUCUAUUUAAAAAAAUAACGAAGAAAACAGUGUUAAUUUCCUAUUCGCUUGAAAAUGAGAUUAAGGUCGUUUAGGAGUGGUAGUUUUAUCCUUAAAUUUGGUACAUUCUUAUUAUUCAUCGAGCUAUUCUAUGUCAUUCAUUUAAUAAUCUCAAAUAUUGUUUGGACCGAUAUGGACGGUAAUAUUCUCUUCUUGAUGUUAAAUAAAGAACACAGAAUCGAUCGAUUUUUAAAGUCGUAUGAAGGAGAUUGCGAAAUUUCGCUUAGGAAACAGAAUUUGCGAAAAAAUACUACGCUAUGCGAUUGUCUACCAUCUGUGACAGAACAUAAAAUCACCAUAAAUACAGCUCGCACCCCAACAUGGAAUGAAAUUGCUAAUAAAUAUAAUAAGACUUUAUCUUCUAAGGGGGAAUAUAAACCAAACGAUUGUGAACCUCUCCAAUCAGUCGCUAUCAUAAUUCCCUAUAUGAAACGUGAUAGUCAUUUAAAAAUACUAAUAAAUCAUCUUCAUUUCAUACUACCCCGGCAAAAAAUUCAUUAUAGGAUUUUUGUUAUUGAACAAAAUAGCCCUUCCAUUUUUAACAAAGCUGCAAUUAUGAAUAUUGGAUUUGUUGAAGCAGGAAAGCUAUUCAAUUUUACUUGUUCCAUAUUCCACGAUGUUGAUAUGCUAGCUGAAGAUGGUAGGAAUAUGUAUAAUUGCCUUUAUUCGCCAAGGCAUAUCGGUAGCCAUGUAAACAAGUAUGGCUAUAGACUUUUCUAUAAUGAACUUAUUGGAGGUGCAUUAGCAAUAACGCCCAAACAUUUUCGACGUGUUAACGGAUAUUCCACAUCAUUUUACGGCUGGGGAGGAGAAGAUGAUGAUAUGAAAAAUAGAUUGUCUGCUCAAAGUCUUAAGAUAACAAGAUUUCCCAAGGAAAUAUCCAGAUUUACAAUGCUUAAGCACGAACAAGACAAGCACAAUCCGACAAACAAGUUCCGACGUAGCGCAGUCGACACUAGGAAAUUAGUGUACGAAAAGGAUGGACUGAAUUCAUUAAACUAUUCAAUAGUUGAAACACGAGAGAGAUCUUUAUUUACUCUAAUAAAGGCUAAUUUGUACAUAUCUCAACACAAUCAAUUUAAUAAGAUUAAGGGUAGUUGUAAAGAAACAAGAUAUUUUCUUACCAAAUCCAUAUCUACGGACUCAAUUGAAGAUUGCUCAAUACUAUGCUAUAACGAUCAAAGAUGUUUAUCGUUUGAUUUUUAUGCUAAUUAUUGUCGAAAGCAUUUCAAACCAUGCGUAAUUGAGGACUCAAACAAAGAGAAUCGUUAUGUGUAUGAUAAGAAAGAAAAAAGUAAAUAUUUAAAGUAUUUCAUCUAUGAACAAAUAGACACGUUUACGUGUGUACAAAAUAGAAUGGAAACAUUCGGUCUAUAAAAUAGACUUUACUCUUUUCAGUAUCUUCUAUUCAAGUUGCCUUCAAUAUGAAAUUAGGGAUUUGUAAAUCAAAGACUAUGGGUUUUACCGAAUACUCUUUACACGAAUGUGCUCGCCUCUGCCAAAAUGAUUUAAAAUGCCAUGCAUUUUCUUAUAAUUUCAAUCCUGAUAGCGAUCAACCCCUCUGCCAAAGGAAGAGUAAACAAUGCUCCGAUUUACAAUCUUCUUCAGACUUUUAUACAUUCUCUCGAAAAUCGUUUGUCAAGUAUUAUUUAGAUAGUGAUAAAAUCUAUUACAUCACUCAGGGUGAUUGUUAUGGCAAUGAUCUCAUUCCAGCGUUUAUCUCGUAUUCUGUUGACUACUGCGCAAGUAAUUUUUCUAUUCCAUAUGAUACUAUUUCUAUUUUUGACAUUUUUUAUCUUUCCUCCUACAAGUUAAAUGUUGGAAGAAUCGUGGCUGUCUAGGAUUUGUCUUCUCUAAUCAGAACUGUUACCUAAAAAGAAAAGUUUGUGAUUCUCAAACACGAGAUAUUGAAUCACACUUUUUUAUUAAGUUAACAAAAGGAUUAACAGAAGAGUGAAUAGGAAUAGACAAAGACAAUGAUGAAAGAGUGAAUAAAGAGGAUAGAAAAUAGAAGAGAAUUAAACGUUAGUUGAGGACAUUCUUCUAGGAAAUUGAAAUAUUUAAAAAAAAUAUUGUUAUUAAAAAAAAUCAUAAAGAUGUUUAUGUUCAAUGUAAUAUACUUAUUGGUGCAUGCAGCAAUUAUUCAAUAUCUCUCAAUAUAUCUUUUUUCCGCUUAAAAUAUGACGCAUUACUUAAUAAGAUAUAAUAGCACGAUUGUCACAGUAUAAACGUAACUAUAAGUUAAAUGAAGAAUGUUGGAUCGUGUGAAAAAGAUAGACAGAUAGACAGAGAGAGAGAGAGAGAACGAAAGAAAAAACAACAGAGAAAGCAUUAGAAAGGGGAAAUAGUUUAUAAAAUAAUUUUUCAAACUGUCUAAACUAUCUUUGUCACUUUUUGCUAGUCGAUUUUUGUUCUUGUUUAUAAAAACUAAGAGAACAUUAAGAGAAGAGAAGAGAAGAGAGAGACUGAUUUAGAAAAAGAGAUAAAAAAUUAGUUUUUUUGUUGUUUCUUUUUUUAACAGUGAACGCUUUAUAUCUAGAAAACUCUGCUUUAAAUCUGAAUGAUAUAUGGCAGUUUGUCUACUAAGUAAUCUUAGAAAAAAAAGCGAGAAAGAGAGAGAGAUAUAUAUGCUCGGAUGUGAGAUAAACGGUAAACAAUGCAAAAGUAACUACGUAGUAAAAAACAGGCUCAUGCCUGAACUCAACUAUAACGUCUUACAAAUUUAUAAUGUCUGACAUGUUUACGAUAAUACAUCUGCUAUAUAGAAUUGUACUUAUGCCGGGUAUUUAAUUGUUAACUGUACAUCGAAGCAUUAGUUGUCAAAUUGAACCAUGGAUAUGGAAUAUAAUUAAAGCAAUGACCAUAAUUUAAAAAGUGAAACGCUGAAAAUUUUUUACUAAAAACACGCACAUAUGUUGAAAAAAAUUCAAUAUCCGUAUGGUGUUUGGUGCAUACUUACUAUAUAUACAUACAAGUAUACUUUGUACACCUUGUCUUCACUUUCAAUAAAUAAUCAAUGAAUAUUGAAACAAGAAAAUUAGGAUACUGACACGAGUACUAGAAAAAUAAUCUGCCUUAUUACGUAAUAGAAACAGGCUUUAAAAAGCCUUUAGAAGGAGAUCAAUAAAACAGACUUAGUUAGACAGUUUAUGAUAAAUUUGCUAGUAAAAUAUUUCAAUGUACUUGAACUUUGCUAUCGUA